CAGGUCAUUUCACUACCUUCAACCAAGGCCUGAAUGUUGUGGUUCUGAGGAAUAUAGCAAACCCUGCUUUCCAUUUGUCUGUGAUACAGGGAAUGACUGUUGGCUUGGGAACUGGGAAUAAUGACUCAAAGUUCCGAAUUCAUGAGAAACUUGAUCAUCAUGUGACAUUCGAAUGGGUACCAAAGAAUGGGAAUUACAUCCGCAUCCAUUCACAUGGACAGCCGGCAGCUACUAUCGGUGAUAAUAAAACUUCAGACACAGAAUUUUGGGUGAACUUAUUGUCUGGUGUGCAAGUUAUGCAGAGAUGAAAAGGGAGAGAGAAGUGUCAUUCAUUAUUUAUCUAUUUCUUAAAUUGCAUGAUAUUUUCUUUUCAUCUUUUAUUUCGGAAUAUAGUUACAGUACAUGGCGAUGCAAUAUUCUCCAUAGCUUGUAAUUAAUUACGUAUGCUAUAAAAAAAACAGUGUAUUAAUAUACUGUUGCUCAAAACUUAAAAACAAAUUUUAACUGGCUUUAUUAAAUGGUUGCCCUAACCAAUUACACUUUAUUAUAAAAUGGCUGAAGUUGAGAUGUGAUAUAAUAGAAUUAGGUACAAUUGUUUUCAGGGUAAAUAACAUAUAUAUUACAUAUAAAACAACAUACAAUAUAUUGUAUUUAUAUAAUUUGUAGAACAGAAGGAAUAUUACUAAAUAUAAUGAAACUAUGUAACAUUAAGGUUACAUCUUUAAAAUGAGUUGGCAAAGUAGAAAGAAAAGAGAUGGGGACAAAUAGAGGUAAAUGACUUUAGGUUUCUUGAUUAUUGCAAAAUUUAGUAAAUUUUACACUUGUAUAUUACCGAUUUUUAAUAAAAUGAUUUAUAUAAUUAGGUUUCUUGAUUAAGCCAAAAAAAAUUGUUUGUUUGCCCACUUCCACCCGCCCCUAACUCAUUGAAAAAAAUAGGGGUGGAAAAACAAAAAAAAAC